GCGGACCUUCGAAAAAGGCGGAGUCAAGCCCUGGAUCCUCCUCCGAACAGGGAAAGGGGAAGGAGGGCGGAUGAUGUCGACGUCUGAUGCCCCCUUCUAGGCGAGGCAGCUGCCAUCAUAGGGGGAGGAGAGUGCCUUAACCACUCCACCUCGUCAACUUUUCCUACCAGAAUGUUCUUUGCAGCUCAGGCACGCUUGGCCAGCAAAUCUGUGCCCUUCCAAACCCCUCUCUUCGUUAUCAUUUCGCGCCCUCUUGCUCCUUAUGCUACGUUCUCUUAACCAGUUGUGGGGGCAUCUUUCAAAGCUUCAGACUUUGCAGAAAGAGAGAAAUCCCAAGGCGCUUGCUGCGUUGCUUUGGUAUGAGACUGCAAACAAUCCUGCAGGAUUAUAAGGCGCUUCCGUGUCAAAGAGCCUCUGGUUUCUCCAACUGAAAUAUCACAGCCAUCCACUAUAGUUCAAAUGCAGGGUACAUAUAAAUAAGAUUCAUACAUUGGUAGCAGAGACAUAUCUAGACUUGCGGCACCAAAAAGAUCAAGGCAACAGAAAAUACUUAGAUGGCCUCUAGCAUUAAUAUGAGUCUAUAGUCAAUAUAGGUUGGGUUUAGGGAAACAUAAGAGUGAGGAUUAUUUUUUAAGGCUGCCAUCUUGGGGAUGGAGAGUGGCUGCAGCUUUGCAUUUAGAAGCCCCUGGGGUUCAAUUCCUGCCACUUCCAGGUAGCUGGGGAAAAACUUUGUGACCUACCCUGCAUACCUGCUGAUACCAUAGUACCAGGCCUGCUCAACUUCGGCCCUCCUGCAGAUGUUGGCCUACAAUUCCCAUAAUCCCUGGCUAUUUGCCACUGUGGCUGGGGAUUGUGGGAGUUGUAGUCCAAAAACAGCUGGGGGGAGGCCCUAAAUUGAGCAGGCCUGCAAGACAGUAGUGAGCUGGAUGGACCAAUGGUCUGUCUAUAAUGGGGAUGGGGCCAUAGUUCAGGAGUUGAGCAUCUGCUUGGCUUGUAGAAGGUCCCGUACCCAAUCACUGGCAUCUCCAAAUAUGGCUGAGGAAAAAUUCCUGUCAGAAGAGCUGCUGCCAGUCAGAGCAGACAAUACUGAGUUAGAUGGACCAACAGAUUGACUCAACAGAAGGAAUAAAACCAGCUAUGUGCACUGCAAAUGAAAGUUUCUGAUGCCAGACCUGUGCCUGCACUUAAAUAUGCAUCCAUCCACACAAAAUGUGGCAAUGAAAAAUGACUCUCACCAGGGAUAUGCAUAUCUCUAGCUGAGGCGUGUGUUGUGAUUAAAGGGCUACACACCCCUUUGUGAUUAAAGGUGUGAUUAAAGGAUUGUGAUUAAA